UACGUAGGGUGCAAGCGUUAAUCGGAAUUACUGGGCGUAAAGCGUGCGCAGGCGGUUUUGUAAGUCUGUCGUGAAAUCCCCGGGCUCAACCUGGGAAUUGCGAUGGAGACUGCAAGGCUAGAGUUUGGCAGAGGGGGGUAGAAUUCCACGUGUAGCAGUGAAAUGCGUAGAUAUGUGGAGGAACACCGAUGGCGAAGGCAGCCUCCUGGGCCAACACUGACGCUCAUGCACGAAAGCGUGGGGAGCAAACAGG
rnacentral:rRNA from 1 species